CACCCGCAGCUCGAGUGGUGGUCACUUUUAUUGAGCCUAAAGCGUUUGUAGCCGGUUUUGCAAAUCUUCAGAUAAAUUCCUCUGCUUAACAGAUGAUCUUCUGAAGAGACUGCGAGACUUGGGACCGGGUGAGGUUGAAGGUACUUCCGGGGUAGGGGUAAAAUCCUGUAAUCCUGGAAGGACGACCGGUGGCGAAGGCGUUCAACUAGAACGGAUCCGACGGUGAGGAACGAGGGCUAGGGUAGCAAACCGGAUUAGAUACCCGGGUAGUCCUAGCUGUAAACACUGCCCACUUGGUGUUGCCCCUCCGAUGAGGGGAGGCAGUGCCGGAGCGAAGGUGUUAAGUGGGCCGCUUGGGGAGUAUGGUCGCAAGGCUGAAACUUAAAGGAAUUGGCGGGGGAGCACCGCAACGGGAGGAGCGUGCGGUUUAAUUGGAUUCAACGCCGGAAAACUCACCGGGAGCGACCUUUGGAUGAGAGUCAGCCUGAUGAGCUUACUCGAUAGAAGGAGAGGUGGUGCAUGGCCGUCGUCAGCUCGUACCGUAGGGCGUUCACUUAAGUGUGAUAACGAGCGAGACCCCCAUCUCUAAUUGCUAACGUGCAUUCGCGUGCACGCGCACUUUAGAGGGACCGCCAGUGCUAAACUGGAGGAAGGAGGGGUCGACGGCAGGUCAGUACGCCCCGAAUCUCCCGGGCAACACGCGCGCUACAAAGGGCAGGACAAUGAGUCGCCACCUCGAAAGGGGGAGCUAAUCUCGAAACCUGUUCGUAGUUAGGAUUGAGGGCUGUAACUCGCCCUCAUGAAUGUGGAUUCCGUAGUAAUCGCGGGUCAACAGCCCGCGGUGAAUAUGCCCCUGCUCCU
rnacentral:rRNA from 1 species